CUUAAUAAAUUCAUCCUCAAAAUUUAGUUGAAAAAUUGAGUUAAUUAAAUAUGUUUUGUUUUUACUUGCAGGCUCUUCGAUUACUAUCCGAGUCAUCUGAGGAAAAAUGACAAUUGUCAUAGCAACGGUCUCGUCUCUCCAAGAGAAUAUGGUUGUUAGUAUUGAUGUUAUAACUCAGGAAGAAAAAGGUUGAGUGAAGACAGAUACAGAUACAUCCUCCAAUUAGAUUGAGUAAUGGAACGGCAGCUUUUUCUGCUGAAGCUCAGAGCAGCUUCCUCCGUAAUUGGUGAUGACAUUUCUAUGACCAUUUCAUCAACCAAUGGAAUCGCAGGAGAGAAUGGGGUGGUCUUAGACCGCGCUAGAGUUAUCUUCCCUUCUGAGAUUGGAGUAGAACUGAGAGAUUAAGCGUUGAUUACCCCUCUGUAGUAUAAGGAGUGGACAUAACUGAUACAGAACUUGGUCUCCAAAUUGAAAUACACCUCAUGAAAGAGUUGUGAAACAGAAAAAUAGUGUAUAUAUAGGUCUAAAGUCAUCAGGUUUUUCUACAUUUCCAGGAAUCAGAGCUAAGAGGAACGAGUAAGGACCUUCAUACAUUCUAUGAAACAGCUGGACAUAUUUCUAUUGCUAACAGUCUUGGGUCUGGUUUUUGAUCAUCUCGGCACUGCAGCCCAUGCUGUUAGACAUUCGCUGCAUGUUGGUGGAGAUGUUGGC